AGAGACUUUCUCUGCAGAUCUCUGAGGCCUUUGGCUUGCCAGCAUUGCUCUAAAACUGCCAUCUGCCAUCCGUCUUUGAGCCUGGCCAGAGGGAAAAUCACCACUGGAGGUUUAUCCUAAAGGACCAAGACGACUCUCCAUCUCUUUCCCUAAUGACGCCAUUAAAACUUCCUUUUGACCCGCUUGCUGUGAGUAGAACCAGGAACUAUCUACACACGCAGCGCUCCACUAAGCUGAUUGCGUUUUUCAAAGAGGGCCUGACUGCAUCUCCCUCUGGGAUGGCUUUAACCAAUAAAAUGCAGCAAAACUGAUGGUGGACGUAACACUUAACUGGCUGGCAGGGUCCACUCUGCCUGCUUCAGCUCUGAGCCGUCGUAUAAGAAGUCCAGGUUACUCAGUGGGAGACAGCAGCCACGGGGAGGAGCACUGAGGCACUGGACAGGAAGGAAAGAAGCCGUCUUGGACCCCUUCACAUGCCUCCAGCCCUAGCCCUUCCCUAAACGCAAUCACAUGAGGGACCCCAAGGGAGAAUCACCCAGCUAAGGCCAGUCAACCCACAGGUCCCUGAGAGAUCAUGAUAAAUGGUUGUUUUAAGCCUCUAAGUUUUGCUUUGUUUUAUGGAUUGACUCAUGAACCCCAAAAGACAUGUUAGGGUCUUAACCCCGGUCAUAUGGCCAUGAAACCCUUUGUAAGUAGCAUCUUCAAAGAUAUUAUUAGUUGAGGUGAGACCAAACUGAGUCAGGGCAGGUCCUAAUCCUAUAUAACGGGAGUCUUUGUGAGCAGGAAGUUCAGACACAGACGGGGAGAGACAGCCAAGUGACAGAGGCAAAGACUGAGCCGUGGAUGGCCGGCAAACCGCGUCCAGGCUGCCACAGACUUCAGAGAAAGCACGAACCUGCUGACAUCUUGAUUUUGGACUUUGAGUCUCCCAGACUGCGAGACAAUACAUUCCUGUUGUUUAAGCAAUAAAUCCACACUUGUUUAAAUCUGUAGUAUUUGUCAUAGCAGCUCUGACUCAUAAGACAGUUCAUUUACUGCAAUAGAUACCCAAGGCACCACUUUGUGUAUCCCUGUUUCUCAUUUUAUGUCACAGUAAAGCUUUCUGUGCUUUAACAAUUAAGAUAUUAUAAACUAGCAAUAAAAAUAUUUCUGCUCAUGAUUUCUACUUUAAUGAUUGCCUGCAUAUAUAGUUAGUGUAUUAUUGUUAAUUUUAUGUUUUAUGCAUAGUAAAUA